GCAGCAUGGCUGUUACUAUGCAGAGACAUUCUACAGAGACUACAAGGUUUCAAGCAACCUGCCUGAAGUCACAGAGCCGCCAAGUGGCCUAGGAGGCCAAGAGUGAGGGCUGAGGAGGAUUCCAGGCUCCGAAAAAUUAUUGAAAUGAGAACAGCUGGAUGGACCAAGCCUAGCUUGAUGCCACUCAAGAAAUCAGAGCACCCAGCCUCUCCAUACAACAGCUUCCGACCACUCACCUACGAAGCAAAGCAGUCGGUGGGGAGCUGUGACCAGAGCAGCUGAUGGCGCUAAUUAAAACAUCCAGCCCACGUGUAUGCAAAUCCAGAAACAGCGUGUCAGGGAAGAUAACUCCUGAUCCGAACUCAUCCCCAGAGCUUUUCCUGAGCCCAGCUGUUUAGAGACAAUCUGCAGCUUGGUCACUUGAUAAAAUUAUUUCUGUUUGGUGAGUGUGGGUGGGCAGGUGGGUACGUGAAACCAGGACAGUCAGAGCAGGAGCUGAUGGGAAAUCAA